CAUGCAGGCGGUUACAUAAGUCAGGUGUGAAAUCCCCGCGCUUAACGUGGGCAUUGCAUUUGAAACUAUGUAGCUAGAGUUCUGUAGAGGGGGGUAGAAUUCCAGGUGUAGCGGUGAAAUGCGUAGAGAUCUGGAGGAAUACCGAUUGCGAAGGCGAUCCCCUGGACCUGUACUGACGCUCAUGCACGAAAGCGUGGGGAGCAAACAGGAUUAGAUACCCGCGUA
rnacentral:rRNA from 1 species